GCACUGCUGAGGAGUCCCACAAUAGGACGAAAAGGCCAUCCAGUUC
rnacentral:hammerhead_ribozyme from 1 species